GAUGAACGCUGGCGGUAUGCUUAACACAUGCAAGUCGAACGGACUCUUCGGAGUUAGUGGCGGACGGGUGAGUAACGCGUGAGAAUCUGGCUUUGGGUUCGGGACAACCACUGGAAACGGUGGCUAAUACCGGAUGUGCCGUGAGGUAAAAGAGAAAUUGCCUGAAGAUGAGCUCGCGUCUGAUUAGCUAGUUGGUGAGGUAAAGGCUCACCAAGGCAGCGAUCAGUAGCUGGUCUGAGAGGAUGACCAGCCACACUGGCUCUGAGACACGGCCCAGACUCAUGCGGGAGGCAGCAGGGGAGCAUUAUCCGGCAUGGGCGAGAGCCUGACGGAGCACUACCGCGUGUGGGAAGAAGGCUCUUGGGGUGUAAACCUCUUUUCUUAGGGAAGAACAAAAUGACGGUACCUAAGGAAUCAGCAUCGGCUAACUCCGUG
rnacentral:rRNA from 1 species